rnacentral:rRNA from 1 species
UACGUAGGGUGCGAGCGUUAAUCGGAAUUACUGGGCGUAAAGCGUGCGCAGGCGGUUUUGUAAGCCAGAUGUGAAAGCCCCGGGCUCAACCUGGGAAUGGCAUUUGGGACUGCAAGGCUGGAGUUUGGCAGAGGAGACUGGAAUUCCUGGUGUAGGCAGUGAAAUGCGUAGAUAUCAGGAGGAAUACCGAUGGCGAAGGCAGGUCUCUGGGCUAUAACUGACGCUCAUGCACGAAAGCGUGGGGAGCAAACAGG